CGCAUCUGUGCAUGCAGCAUAUCAAUAAGCGGAGGAAAAGAAACUAACAAGGAUCCCCUUAGUAACGGCGGGUGUAGCGGGAAGAGCUCAAAUUUGAAAUCUUCAAGGUUUUACCUUGACGAAUUGUAGUUUAAAGAAGUGUUUUCUGUUGAAGUUUUGGUAAAAGUUCUUUGGAAUAGGACAUCAUAGAGGGUGAGAAUCCCGUAUUUGACCAUUAUUUUCAGCUGUGUGAUACACUUUCAAAGAGUCGGAUUGUUUGGGAAUGCAGUCCAAAAUGGGUGGUAAAUUUCAUCUAAAGCUAAAUAUUGGCGAGAGACCGAUAGCGAACAAGUACCGUGAGGGAAAGAUGAAAAGAACUUUGAAAAGAGAGUUAAACAGUACGUGAAAUUGUCAAAAGGGAAGCGUUUGACACCAGUGUUGUUUUCUCGAAAAUCAAUUAAAAAGAGUUUGAUUUUGUUGUGUAUUGACCUUAACAGCUUGCAUUUCAAUUUUCUUGCUUUUUUUAAUGCACUUUUCGUUUAACAAGUCAACAUCAGUUUCUUUUGUUGUAAAAAGGUCAUUGGAAGGUGGCUUUCUUUUCGGAGAAAGUGUUUAUAGCCUUUGACUCCUGCAAUCGGAGAGACUGAGGUCUGCAGCGUAGAUCCUUCGGGGUUAGAUACAUUUGUGCUAAGUUAUAGCUUUUUAUAGACAACUUGUUGACUAUGAUUAGUCUUGUAGCUUACUCGCUUAUGCUAUUUUACCUACGCUUAGGAUGUUGACGCGCGUGUGUGCGUGAGUCUAUACAUGACUCUGCGCAUAUCAAUAAGCGGAGGAAAAGCGGGCUAUUACCUACGCUUAGGAUGUUGACACGCAUCUGUGCAUGCAGCAUAUCAAUAAGCGGAGGAAAAGUCGGAGGGAUACCUACGCUUAGGAUGUUGACGCGCGUGUGUGCGUGAGUCUAUACAUGACUCUGUGCAUAUCAAUAAGCGGAGGAAAAGGCUGCUGAACUGAACGACCACUACCUACGCUUAGGAUGUUGACGCGCGUGUGUGCGUG
rnacentral:rRNA from 1 species